rnacentral:rRNA from 1 species
UGGGGAAUAUUGGACAAUGGGCGAAAGCCUGAUCCAGCAAUGCCGCGUGAGUGAUGAAGGCCUUAGGGUUGUAAAGCUCUUUUACCAGGGAUGAUAAUGACAGUACCUGGAGAAUAAGCUCCGGCUAACUCCGUGCCAGCAGCCGCGGUAAUACGGAGGGAGCUAGCGUUGUUCGGAAUUACUGGGCGUAAAGCGUACGUAGGCGGUUAUUCAAGUCAGAGGUGAAAGCCCGGGGCUCAACCCCGGAACGGCCUUUGAAACUAGAUAGCUAGAAUCUUGGAGAGGUCAGUGGAAUUCCGAGUGUAGAGGUGAAAUUCGUAGAUAUUCGGAAGAACACCAGUGGCGAAGGCGACUGACUGGACAAGUAUUGACGCUGAGGUACGAAAGCGUGGGGAGCAAACAGGAUUAGAUACCCAAGUAGUCCCUG